GGUGCCUGCGGAGGGAUCAUUACACAAUAUGAAAGCGGGCUGGCAUCCUUCGGGGUUACAGCCUUGCUGAAUUAUUCACCCGUGUCUUUUGCGUACUUCUUGUUUCCUUGGUGGGUUCGCCCACCAUAGGACAAACCAUAAACCUUUUGUAAUUGCAAUCAGCGUCAGUAAAAAAAUUAAUAAUUACAACUUUUAACAACGGAUCUCUUGGUUCUGGCAUCGAUGAAGAACGCAGCGAAAUGCGAUAAGUAGUGUGAAUUGCAGAAUUCAGUGAAUCAUCGAAUCUUUGAACGCACAUUGCGCCCUUUGGUAUUCCAAAGGGCAUGCCUGUUCGAGCGUCAUUUGUACCCUCAAGCUUUGCUUGGUGUUGGGCGUCUUGUCUCCAGUUCGCUGGAGACUCGCCUUAAAGUAAUUGGCAGCCGGCCUACUGGUUUCGGAGCGCAGCACAAGUCGCGCUCUCUUCCAGCCAAGGUCAGCAUCCACAAAGCCUUUUUUCAACUUUUGACCUCGGAUCAGGUAGGGAUACCCGCUGAACUUAAGCAUACAGGGA
rnacentral:rRNA from 1 species